rnacentral:rRNA from 1 species
UGGGGAAUAUUGCACAAUGGGCGCAAGCCUGAUGCAGCCAUGCCGCGUGUAUGAAGAAGGCCUUCGGGUUGUAAAGUACUUUCAGCGGGGAGGAAGGGAGUAAAGUUAAUACCUUUGCUCAUUGACGUUACCCGCAGAAGAAGCACCGGCUAACUCCGUGCCAGCAGCCGCGGUAAUACGGAGGGUGCAAGCGUUAAUCGGAAUUACUGGGCGUAAAGCGCACGCAGGCGGUUUGUUAAGUCAGAUGUGAAAUCCCCGGGCUCAACCUGGGAACUGCAUCUGAUACUGGCAAGCUUGAGUCUCGUAGAGGGGGGUAGAAUUCCAAGUGUAGCGGUGAAAUGCGUAGAGGUCUGGAGGAAUACCGGUGGCGAAGGCGGCCCCCUGGACGAAGACUGACGCUCAGGUGCGAAAGCGUGGGGAGCAAACAGG